GGCUUGGUGGUCUAGUGGUAUGAUUCUUGCUUAGGGUACUCUCUAUCCGAGUUGCAAGAGGUCCCGGGUUCGAUCCCCGGCCAAGCCC